GUGGGGAAUAUUGGACAAUGGGCGAAAGCCUGACCCAGCAACGCCGCGUGAAGGAAGAAGGUCUUCGGAUCGUAAACUUCUAUCCUUGGUGAAGAUAAUGACGGUAGCCGAGAAGGAAGCCCCGGCUAACUACGUGCCAGCAGCCGCGGUAAUACGUAGGGGGCAAGCGUUGUCCGGAAUGAUUGGGCGUAAAGGGCGCGUAGGCGGCCUGGUAAGUCUGGAGUGAAAGUCCUGCUUUUAAGGUGGGAAUUGCUUUGGAUACUGUCGGGCUUGAGUGCAGGAGAGGUAAGCGGAAUUCCCGGUGUAGCGGUGAAAUGCGUAGAGAUCGGGAGGAACACCAGUGGCGAAGGCGGCUUACUGGACUGUAACUGACGCUGAGGCGCGAAAGUGUGGGGAGCAAACAGGAUUAGAAACCCGAGUAGUCC
rnacentral:rRNA from 1 species